rnacentral:rRNA from 1 species
CCUACGGGAGGCAGCAGUGAGGAAUAUUGGGCAAUGCCCGAAAGGGUGACCCAGCAACGCCGCGUGGAGGAUGAAUGCCGUAAGGUUGUAAACUCCUGUUAGAGGGGAAGAAUAAUCCCGAUCGACUCGGGACAUGACUGUACCCUCAGAGAAAGCUCCGGCUAACUACG